CGGAUAGUCGCUGCAUUGCAGAGGAAAGUCCGGGCUUCAAAGGGCAGGACGCCAGAUAACGUCUGGUGGAGGCGACUCUAAGGAAAGUGCAAUAGAAAAGAAACAGCCUAUAUGGUGAUGGUGGAAUGGCAGUGUAAGAGACUACCGCAUUGCUGGUAACAGUAAUGGUCAAUGCAAACCCCGUCCGAAGCAAGAUCAGAACAAAAGCUAUACGAUUGCCCGUCGUGCUUUUAGGUAGAUCGCGUUAAGUGGUGCGGUGACGCAUCAAGAAAGAUAGAUGAUUAUCCAAGACAUAACCCGGCUUAUAGUAUUGCUCA
rnacentral:RNase_P_RNA from 1 species